rnacentral:rRNA from 1 species
CCUACGGGAGGCAGCAGUGAGGAAUAUUGGUCAAUGGACGAGAGUCUGAACCAGCCAAGUAGCGUGAAGGAUGACUGCCCUAUGGGUUGUAAACUUCUUUUAUAUGGGAAUAAAACGUUCCACGUGUGGGAUUUUGUAUGUACCAUAUGAAUAAGGAUCGGCUAACUCCGUGCCAGCAGCCGCGGUAAUACGGAGGAUCCGAGCGUUAUCCGGUUUUAUUGGGUUUAAAGGGAGCGUAGGUGGAUUGUUAAGUCAGUUGUGAAAGUUUGCGGCUCAACCGUAAAAUUGCAGUUGAAACUGGCAGUCUUGAGUACAGUAGAGGUGGGCGGAAUUCGUGGUGUAGCGGUGAAAUGCUUAGAUAUCACGAAGAACUCCGAUUGCGAAGGCAGUUCACUGGACUGCAACUGACACUGAGGCUCGAAAGUGUGGGUAUCAAACAGGAUUAGAUACCCCAGUAGUC